GUUUUCAUAAUUUAAUCAAAAUAUUGGUCUUGUAAACCAAAAAUGAAUCCAUUUCUGAAAACA
rnacentral:tRNA from 1 species